AGAUCCAGUAAGUAAACAACAACAAGCUGGAAUAGUGUAUAGAAUACCUUGCUCAUGUGGGUUGUGUUAUGUUGGACAAACCAAACAAUAUUUAAAUAAUAGAGUAAAACAACAUAUAUACGAUUGUAAAAAUAUUAACGUAGUAAAAGAGAACAAAACGGCACUAGCAGCGCAUUAUUUUGAUCAACAUCAUAAUUUCACGUUUGAAAAUGUAGAAAUUUUAGACAAAGAAAUUAAUUGGUGGAAGCGUAAUGUAAGUGAAAUGAUCUUUAUCAAAAUAAAUGAUACUGUGAAUAAAAGAACUGACACUAAUAAUUUAAGUAUUUUAUAUAAUGAUAUAUUAAGAGAUUAUAAAUCUAAAAGAAGGAAAUAAUUUUAAUUGUAAUUGUGAUUUGUAUAAUUUUUACAUUGUAAGGAAAGUUGAUAUUUAUUUUGUAUUUAUAUUUAAUUUGAAUUUAAUACUUAGCGCGUUUGGCGCUAGUAUAGAUGACAGAUGUUUUUAGAUUGUAUAGUAUGAUUCAUGUACCUAAUGUUUUGGAGGCGGGCUAAUUGGUGCCAUGCAAUUAACAAUUUUUAUAAGUGUCGUGUUGACUUUAUUUCUGGAGUUUGUAAUUAAUUAAUAAAUUUACCAGUUUUAUUAAUUCUGUAAAGAUUUAUAUGACUAAGGCAACUGUGCAAUGUAAGAUAGUGAUUGUUAGAAUUCGUAUUAUGAUGCCUGAGGAAGGUCAAAUAAAUGACCGAAACGUCGCAGAAAUAAUAAUGUAAUUUGUUAUUAUGAUCCUAUCUUGUCCACAUUCCUGAGAUAAAAA